rnacentral:rRNA from 1 species
GAAUCCCGUCUUUGACACGGACUGCCUGUACAUUAUGGUGUGCUCUCGAAGAGUCGAGUUGUUUGGGAAUGCAGCUCAAAAUGGGUGGUAAAUGCCAUCUAAAGCUAAAUAUUGGCGAGAGACCGAUAGCGAACAAGUACCGUGAGGGAAAGAUGAAAAGAACUUUGGAAAGAGAGUUAAACAGUACGUGAAAUUGCUGAAAGGGAAACGCUUGAAGUCAGUCGCGUUGGCUAGAAAUCAACCUUGCUUUUGCCUUGUGUACUUUCUGGUUGACGGGUCAGCAUCAAUUUUGACCACUGGAUAAAGUCUUUGGGAAUGUGGCAUCUUCGGAUGUGUUAUAGCCCAUUGUCGCAUACGGUGGUUGGGAUUGAGGAACUCAGCACGCCGCAAGGCCGGGUUUCGACCACGUUCGUGCUUAGGAUGCUGGCAUAAUGGCUUUAAUCGACCCGUCUUGAAACACGGACCAAGGAGUCUAACAUGCCUGCGAGUGUUUGGGUGGAAAAACCCAUGCGCGCAAUGAAAGUGAAAGUUGAGAUCCUCUUCAAAGGGGGAGCAUUGACGCCCGGACCAGACCUUUUGUGACGGAUCCGCGGUAGAGCAUGCAUGUUGGGACCCGAAAGAUGGUGAACUAUGCCUGAAUAGGGUGAAGCCAGAGGAAACUCUGGUGGAGGCUCGUAGCGAUUCUGACGUGCAAAUCGAUCGUCAAAUUUGGGUAUAGGGGCGAAAGACUAAUCGAACCAUCUAGUAGCUGGUUCCUGCC